UCCACUUUAGUUCAGUGGUAGAAUGCCCACGGUCGAAAAGUUUCGGCGGCGGGAGACCGGGGGUUCGAUUCCCCUGAUGUUGCG